rnacentral:rRNA from 1 species
AUGGCGGCGGACCUGGGCUUCGAGGCGACCGAGCUCCGGCUCGGCCUGCCCGGCGGCGGCGAGGGGGAGGCGAGGAGCUCCUCCGGCAAGAGGGGCUUCGCCGAGACCAUCGACCUGAAGCUCAAGCUGGAGCCGGCCGGCGAGGAGGCGCCGGCCGAGGAGGAUCGGGCCGACGUGGCCGUGGUCGCCGCCGCGGCGGCAGAGAACCAGGAGGAGACGGCGACCGACGCCGGCGGAGGGAAGAUGAAGAGGUCGCCGAGCCAGAGCAGCGUCGUCACCACCGCCGCGCUGCCCGACCCCGCCGAGAAGCCGCGCGCUCCCAAGGCGCAGGUGGUGGGGUGGCCUCCGGUCCGGUCGUUCCGGAAGAACAUCCUGGCGGAGAAGUCGUCGCCGGCGGCAGCGGCGGCGUUCGUCAAGGUGAGCAUGGACGGCGCGCCCUACCUGCGCAAGGUGGACCUCAACAUGUACAAGACCUACCAGGACCUCUCCAAGGCCCUCGAGAAGAUGUUCAGCUCCUUCACCAUCGGAAACUGUGGAACUCCAGGGAUGAACGGCAUGAACGAGAGCAAGCUGAUGGAUCUUCUCAACGGAUCCGAGUAUGUUCCGACGUACGAGGACAAGGACGGCGACUGGAUGCUCGUCGGCGACGUCCCAUGGGAGAUGUUCGUCGAGUCAUGCAAGCGCCUUCGGAUAAUGAAGGGAUCAGAAGCUAUUGGCCUUGCACCAAGGGCGAUGGAGAAAUGCAAGAACAGGAGCUGA